CCCGCAAGGGCUGAGACCUGGCCUGACAUUUAGUGCCUACUUGAAUGUCACAACGCUCCUCGCAGCAUUAUGCACGGCUCCUAUUCAUAAGAGGUCGAUUAGAGCACAAAAUGGCAGGUCUCUUAGGCACUUGAAUCUCACAAGUUUGACACAUGAAUAACCCCCUUCAUUGAUACUGAUCACCCAACAUCACAAGACAUCCCCAUCUCUCAGCGUGGACUCCCCCUAUCUGCUAGAAGCAAAUCCUCAAAAGAAGACUGAUACACCAAGCAAAACCAGUGAAGCUCAAAGACUGCACAAAUUGCAAAGAGAAAUACUUCAGAAUUCUUGGAUACUUAAUUGCAAGAUUAUCUUCUAAAGUUUGCAUUAUUGAUGUGAUGCCUGGCAGCAGUACUCUAGUUAAAAGUGUGACAGCAUUUCCAUUAAGAAACCUUUCUGAUGGUUAACUUGGCCAUCAGAAGUCACCUUGUGCUUCAUUUGGCACACAAAUUCCCAGUCACACUGCAGAGCCGGACCAUGGGAGCUGUUCCUCUCUUGUACUCUGUUGGGUAAGGGCAGAACUGCACACACAAAAUGUGUGCACACAAUUUUUGUGCUUGUGAUUCUACAAAUCUGGACCCGUUUGUAUUAAAUUACAGGAAAAUAUGCAAAGUCCUGCAGAUUCCUGUGUUAAUUUGCAUGCUUUUAUCAUAAAGGCUAUCGUAGUAAUCAUAGUAUGCCAUCAUAGUAAUCUUAAUAUACAUUGAUAGACUACACCAUAACCACUCCAAAAAGCCAUUAGGGUUUAUUUAUAAACAUAUAAUAAGAAUUCUAGGCAGAUUCAGUACUGCACAAUUCAAUAUUUUUUUAUUAUUAUUAUUAUUCACUGACACCUGUAACAGGAGUGGAGCCAUUGAACCUUACAUGGCUAAAGUACCAGACUAAGGUUUUGAACAGAACCUGGAGCAGUUAGGCUGACAAUUUUCAAUGAAAUUUAACGGUUACCUAAUUGCCAGGCAUUGCUCUGAAGAUUCCUAUCUAAAUGAUCCAACGAGCACCUUUUACUGUGAUCUACCGACAUCACUGGCAUCCUGGCUCCAGGAAAACAACACUAUUUAAGCUCUCCAGGGAUUUGCUGUAGUUUCAAUUUCACUCUCACUGCAAGAACACCUAACUGCUACGACAGUGAGCCCUGUCCACUGCAGUGAGGAGUUUUACAGGCACAGACAAUGAUGGUACAAUCCAUCCUGCUGUACCGAGGCUUCACAGGGGGGCUACAAGCAGUCCCUUACCACAUGGACCCUGUACACUGCAAAGUUAAAUCCCAGCAUCUUCCACAGCUAAGGCUACCUUCAAUUUUCUGGUCACUCUUACGGGACUGGUAAUGUUAAACACUUUUUUUUUUUUUUUUAAUAUUAUCAUCCUCAGGAGAGCGGGACUCGUUAGCUUUUUUGCUGCACUGAACAAUUACAUUACAUGAUUAUGUCCAGACUGUUAAAGGCAGUGUCAGAGCAGCCUCCAACAGCCAUCACAUGCAGCCUUCACAAGAACCUGCUGCACACCCUACUGACAUGUGCCCAUGCAUCAAUUGACAAAAACAGGAAACCUUAACUUGACAAAGACUCUACGUUCAGGUACCAGCAGACCAUGAUUUCUGAAAGCCAAGAUCUGGAAUCAGUGAAGCUCACUUCACAAUGAUGAAAUAUUUGUCAGAUUGUAUGUGAUGACUCAAUGAUACAGCACUAAAUGGUAGUAUAUAAAAGCUUCUGUAUAUGCAUCCACAAACACACAAAUACAUCCAUAUAUAUAAUACAUGUGUCUGUAUAUACACAUAUAUGGAAGUGCAGGUACAUAUAUAUAAAACAUACACACAUAAUGUAUAAGAUACAUGCAAAUGCACAUACAUAGGUAUGUGCAUUCAUGAGUAAACAGAGAUCUCAAAGUACUGAGCAGCUGCCUGUGCCCAGGAGCCCUUUAGGCACACACCAGCAAUGCCACUUUAAUCACGGGAACACUUUUGCAUGGAGGGUAAAGUGGCUUGUCCAACGCCAUUCAGCAAAUGAAAGAAUAAGCCAGGAACAGCUCAUUUGAGCUGCAGUUCAGUCUUCUGGCCUGGUCACAGACUAACCCAUAUAAUGUCACCCUGUGCUGCCAACCACAUCCUCUCCUUAAAGUGCAGCCAGUAACAGCUCAGCUCCGUUAUAAGCCAUGCUACUGUGCAUAAUCAGACACAGUCUAUGAAUGAAAUGUGUGUCUUAUAAUUAGGUCCACACAAAUGCUGAAACUUCAAAAUACAGUUUAGAAGGGUUUCCAGUACAUCUGAUGCCACAGGCAUCACAGCUCUGCUUCUGGAUAUACCAGCUGCCGCUCCAAGGCUUAGGCCAACUGUUGCUGCCAAAGGAUACUCAGAUGAUGUGCAGAACUGGAACAUGGAGAAAAGAGUUAUUCGUCAUCUUUGAUGUUGAUACUUCAAGGGAAGUGCAGGAUCCUCUCCCAGCAACCAGCAUGCUCAGACAUCCUCCCUACCUUGAUGUUUGGCCUGCUAUUGCUAUGGCUUGGUUUGAUUUUAGGCAUCGGUUGUCUGUAAAAGGGUUAGAAAUGUGGCACACUAAAUCACUACCCACAAUGAGUAGUGCACAAGUAUCUUUAUGUGUCUGUUCUCUAUCGGAUUCCAACCCUUUCCAGAUGAAGUUAUAAAUGGAUUAUUUGAUUUCAUUUUUUUUUCUUUAUAAUCUUAAAAAGUCUUAAGAGUAAGUGAUUCCAGAGGGCUUCCAUAUGAUUUGCCAUGAUUUCAGAGCUGACAGUAUACAGGCGCUGCUAGUGUGAAGGGCAGAAGCCUUCAGGAAAAGGACCAUCGUGUUCAAUAUUGCAAGGAACAUAGAUUUUUAUACAAAGACACUAAGAUCAGCUCUUAUGUUACCAAAAGGUGCAGGAGGAAUACUUACAUAGAAGAUCAAAAUCAGCUUGGUUUAAAUACUGGAAUUUCAACCAUGUUUUAAGUAAUUUUGGAAUGGUUAGGGGAAGGAGGGAACAGGCUCCCUCUCAAACUCCUUGUAGUCCAUCCUGAUGUGUUUUGUUACCAUGUCCAGAACAGAUGAAGUUUUGGCCCUUAUAACGACACUUGAGAUUCUCCAGAUUCUUCCAUAAAAGACUCAGGCAUUUCUGCUGCAGCCACUUCUCUCUCUCUCUCUCUGUGCUGGACAAGCUGCAGGGUGGUAGCCCUGGUGGCACUGGUUAGUGAUUUCUGGCAAUAGUCAUUUUGUUUCUGGGCUAGGAAUUCCUGUAUUCCCUGAGAACAAGACACAGAGCACUCACCAUUUCCAAAUGAGGACAGCAACAGUGCUGUUCCCUGUAUCUGCUCAAUUCAAGCAAUUUCUCUAAGCUGCCCAUCAAUAAAGACUUGCUUUUUGUCAAAAUACUUUGUGAAAUCUAUAUUAGACAAAGUCUUGCAGUCCUUUUCUACUGUCAAGAGAAAGGAAUAGUCAGGCUCAUAGUCAAAAUCACCUUCAGCCAAACCCCCACUGUCAGACAAGUGCAUCAUCGUGGAUUUUGGAUUGAUGAACUACUGUAUUUUAGCUUUUCUGCCAAAGCAACAUGGGUCUCAUCAGCAGGAAAGAGAAUAGAGCGAGACAAAGAUGAGAGGCAGCACAACACACUACACCUAUGCAAGGGCUGCCAACAGGAAAAAAGGGCACUCUCUGGAAGGGCAAAGACACAGAUGUAUUCGAAGGACAGACAAAGACGCACAGAAGAAGAGGAUGGAGGUGGUGCUUGGAAGGCAUGUUAACAGGGGAUGCUUCUGGAGUUUCUUGGGGAGAGAAAAUGCCAGCAAAGACUGCAAAAAAUGGGCAAGUUUUAUCACGCAACCAUUGAGGUGGCAAAAAACAACUUCACCAUUUUUCUAGCACAUGGUACAGAAACAGCUGAAACAACAUGAUACAUGACCCCGCCAGAGGACAGUGGCCUUUGGAGGAACACUCAUGCAGCAGCUCCUGCAUCUGUGCGCCUUUCCCAUUUUUUGACAAGUACCCAUAUUCUCUGAGCUAUAAUACUUGUGAUCAUGACCUCAUACAAUGACUUCCUGAGACUCCAGUCUGUAGCUCUCCAACUCCCUGGCUUCCUUUCCACCCCACCAAUAUAUCUGGCGGCAGCAUCCCCCACCUUGGGUCUGUUCCUGAAAUGCCCUGCUCAUGCCCUGUCACCACCGUGACGCCUCCACCAGCUAUGCUGGUGCUGGCCGCUGGCCUCGUGCUUCUUACCCAUGCACUUGUGUCCCUUCACAUCCAGCAGUACAGCAAAAGGAUAAAAGAAGAAUGCAGAUACUGGCUUAAAAACAUGUAUUUUUCUUUCUCUUUCAGGUUUAGAGGAAUUUAUCUUUUGUAUAUGCUGUGCUCUUACAUGCAUGCACACACUAUAUGCACACACACAAUAUAUAAAUAUAUAUCUGUCGGGGGAGAGAGGUUUAAGACUAAGAACUUAUUUUAACUUCAAACUUGUUUGGUUUAAGACGUAAAGAGUUUAAGCCAGAUUUAUUUUGGGUGACAAGUAUUUCUUACAUCUAAGGCAUAAAUAUUUUCUCCUAUUUUAACAACAUCUCUUCCCUUUGAUUUUCUCACACAUGUUGUAUUUAACUAAUAGAGUACAAAUACCAAAACAAUGGAAUAUCCAGGAUUAACUCAGCAAAUGCCAUUAGAUUUUGUGCAGGCAUAGUAUAGAAAUGGCACAAAAAAAACCUACUUUGGAUUCUUAAGGAUCAUUUCCAGUGAUUCAUUUUCAAAAACGAAGGGAUUUUUAAUACUUGAAAAAUUCAAUAUAUUUCAUGGAGUCAUUACAUUUUGUACAGUUCUGAAAUAAUGCCAAUUUUGCAACUUAAUUUGUUAAAAUGAUAAUAAACGAGAAGGCUGUCACUAGACAGAG